rnacentral:lncRNA from 1 species
GGCAAACAGUGUUUGGCUAACAGUCGCCUAGGCCACCAGUAGCCUAGGCUAACGCAACAGUGUUGGCUACCCACGUAGCCUAGGCUAACAAGAACAGUGUUGUGCUAACGUAGCCUAGGCUAACAGCAAACAGUGUUUGGGCUAACCGUAGCCUAGGCUAACAGUAACCUUGUUGGGCUAACAGUCGCCUAGGUAACAGUCACAUGUGUUUGGCUAACAGUAGCCUAUGGCUAAAAGCAACGUGUUUGGCUAAAAGUAGCCUAGGCUAACAGCAAACCGUUUUGCUAACGUAGCUGGUAACAGCAACAGGUUGGCUAACCGUAGCCUAGGGCAGAAGUGUUCUGUCUCACAUAGCCAGGCUAACAAACAGUACACAGUGUUUGGGCUAAAACAGUAGCCUAGGCUAACAGUACACAGGUUUGG